AUAGCGAACAAGUACCGUGAGGGAAAGUUGAAAAGCACUCUGGAGAGAGAGUCAAAAGACCGUGAAACCGCUCAGAGUAUAAGCCCAUGGCAGCUUGGAAGGCAUAUCGCUAGCGGGGCAUCGGUCUUCCCACCCUUCGGGGGGUGAAGCUGGUGUUACCUUGCUUCUGUUGGUGCUCGUCAAGGUAGGGGGGUCAAGUCCACAUCCCGCCGUCGUGUGUGAGGUUCUUGGGUGCAUGUUGUCUUUCGGUUGACUUCGGUUGGCCGUUGGGCUCUUCGUGCUUGGUUCUUCUUUAACACGGACGUUCAUACUCAAGGCAAGACGCGAUAACCAGCCCACCACGGCACGUUGUGAGGUCACCCUCAGGCUAAACUUUCGAUUGUGAACCUUGACGCCGAGCAGCACAAUGCGUGUCGCUUAUGUUCCUAACCAGGCAACGCUGCCAGGAUCGUGGAACGACACGCGCUCAACAGUCAGGUUCGAGCGAUGACACAGUUCUGGUAUGAUCCUCUUGCGACGAGCCGGCUUCUGGCCAAUGUCCGCUGCUCAGGUCUCCCGCAUGUGCCGCGGGAGAUCGACCCCUGACGGUCUGGAGCUUUUACAAGUCCUCUCAGUCGGGCAACGGAUAGAGUGGUGUAAAGUCCAAGCCCAUCGGUCACGUCUCGAAACACGGGCCAAGGAGUAUAGCAUGUGUGCAAGUCUAAGGGUCUCACAAAACCCGAAGGCGAAGUGAAAGCAAGUAAGCGGCGGGUGAUCUA
rnacentral:rRNA from 2 species